GCCCGUUUAGCUCAGUGGUAGAGCGCGCCACUCGUAUCGAGACGAUAUGGUGAGGUCGGUUGUUCAAUCCAGCCAAUGGGCA